rnacentral:rRNA from 1 species
AGUGGGGAAUCUUGGACAAUGGGGGCAACCCUGAUCCAGCCAUGCCGCGUGAGUGAUGAAGGCCCUAGGGUCGUAAAGCUCUUUCGCCUGUGAAGAUAAUGACGGUAGCAGGUAAAGAAACCCCGGCUAACUCCGUGCCAGCAGCCGCGGUAAUACGGAGGGGGUUAGCGUUGUUCGGAAUUACUGGGCGUAAAGCGCACGUAGGCGGACCAGAAAGUUGGGGGUGAAAUCCCGGGGCUCAACCCCGGAACUGCCUCCAAAACUAUUGGUCUAGAGUUCGAGAGAGGUGAGUGGAAUUCCGAGUGUAGAGGUGAAAUUCGUAGAUAUUCGGAGGAACACCAGUGGCGAAGGCGGCUCACUGGCUCGAUACUGACGCUGAGGUGCGAAAGUGUGGGGAGCAAA